rnacentral:rRNA from 1 species
UAAUACUUUUCACCCCGAAACUCUAUGAGCUGUAAAUUAUUUGCUAAGAGCCCACUGAUGGGUGUGUCAAUACCCUCACAAAAAUAAUUCGCAGGGGCUACAUACCUACCGCGUAGAGUGAUAGCUGGUUUCUCAUUAACCCAGUAUAAGCUGACCCAACUGAAAACAAAUUCCACCCCGCCCCCUCAGUUAUGUAAAUAGGCCGAGGACAAGCCCGACCUAUGCCCUUAUUAAAUAAAAAACAAAGAAAAAAGUAGGCCCAAAACCAGCCACCUGAAAUUUCGUCAAAGUAAAAAAAAAAUAAAAAUAUAAAAUCAAAUAUAAAAAAAUGAAAUAUAAGUACAAACUAUAUACUUAACAACUAUGCAAAGAUUAGUAUUCUUAUAAAUAAUAUAGGCCCACAUGUAAAGAAGGAACUCGGCAAACCUCAGCUCCGACUGUUUAACAAAAACAUAGCCUGUUGAAUAAUUAUAACAGGUAAACCCUGCCCAGUGACCCAGUUCAACGGCCGCGGUACCCUGACCGUGCAAAGGUAGCAUAAUCACUUGCCUUUUAAUUAGAGGCUGGUAUGAAUGGACAAACGAGAGCAAAGCUGUCUCCUUUACAAACAUAAAAAUUUACCUUCAGGUGAAGAGGCCUGAAUCAAUAUAAAAGACAAGAAGACCCUGUCGAGCUUUAGUCAAAAUAAAUCCACAAUUACAACAAAUAUUAAAAUUUAAAUAUGACUUUUGUUGGGGCGACAAAGGAAUACACAAAUCUUCCUACACAAAAAAGAAAAUAAUUCUUACAAAUGAUCCAAUAUAUGAUUAAUAAAAGAAGCUACCGCAGGGAUAACAGACUAAUCUUCCUUAAGAGCCCAAAUCUACAGGAAGGAUUGGCACCUCGAUGUUGGCUUAAGAAGUCUUUUAGAUGUAGCAGUCUAAAAAGAAGGUUUGUUCAACCUUUAAUCUCUUACAUGAG